GAUGAACGCUAGCUACAGGCUUAACACAUGCAAGUCGAGGGGAAACGAUAUUGGAAGCUUGCUUCUGAUAGGCGUCGACCGGCGCACGGGUGAGUAACGCGUAUCCAACCUGCCCAUCACUUGGGGAUAACCUUGUGAAAGUAAGACUAAUACCCAAUGACGUCUCUAGAAGACAUCUGAAAGAGAUUAAAGAUUUAUCGGGUGAUGGAUGGGGAUGCGUCUGAUUAGCUUGUUGGCGGGGUAACGGCCCACCAAGGCGACGAUCAGUAGGGGUUCUGAGAGGAAGGUCCCCCACAUUGGAACUGAGACACGGCCCAAACUCCUACGGGAGGCAGCAGUGGGGGAUAUUGCGCAAUGGGGGAAACCCUGACGCAGCAACGCCGCGUGAAGGAUGAAGGUCUUCGGAUUGUAAACUUCUUUUAUUAAGGACGAAGAAAGUGACGGUACUUAAUGAAUAAGCUCCGGCUAACUACGUG
rnacentral:rRNA from 1 species